rnacentral:rRNA from 1 species
UGGGGAAUAUUGGACAAUGGGCGCAAGCCUGAUCCAGCCAUGCCGCGUGUGUGAAGAAGGCCUUCGGGUUGUAAAGCACUUUUGUUGGGGAAGAAACAGGUUGGCUUAAUACGCUGACUGACUGACGGUACCCAAAGAAUAAGCACCGGCUAACUUCGUGCCAGCAGCCGCGGUAAUACGAAGGGUGCAAGCGUUACUCGGAAUUACUGGGCGUAAAGCGUGCGUAGGCGGUUGAUUAAGUCUGCUGUGAAAGCCCCGGGCUCAACCUGGGAAUUGCAGUGGAAACUGGUCAGCUAGAGUGCGGUAGAGGAGGGUGGAAUUUCCGGUGUAGCGGUGAAAUGCGUAGAGAUCGGAAGGAACAUCUGUGGCGAAGGCGACCCUCUGGACCAGCACUGACGCUGAGGCACGAAAGCGUGGGGAGCAAACA